rnacentral:rRNA from 1 species
AUUGAACGCUGGCGGCAGGCCUAACACAUGCAAGUCGAGCGGAUGAAGGGAGCUUGCUCCUGGAUUCAGCGGCGGACGGGUGAGUAAUGCCUAGGAAUCUGCCUGGUAGUGGGGGAUAACGUCCUGAAACGGGCGCUAAUACCGCAUACGUCCUGAGGGAGCAAGUGGGGGAUCUUCGGACCUCACGCUAUCAGAUGAGCCUAGGUCGGAUUAGCUAGUUGGUGGGGUAAAGGCCUACCAAGGCGACGAUCCGUAACUGGUCUGAGAGGAUGAUCAGUCACACUGGAACUGAGACACGGUACAGACUCCUACGGGAGGAAGCAGUGGGGAAUAUUGGACAAUGGGCGAAAGCCUGAUACAGCCAUGCCGCGUGUGUGCAGAAGGUCUUCGGAUUGUAAAGCACUUUAAGUUGGGAGGAAGGGAAGUAAGUUAAUACCUUGCUGUUUUGACGUUACCAACAGAAUAAGCACCGGCUAACUUCGUG